UACGGAGGGUGCAAGCGUUAUCCGGAUUCACUGGGUUUAAAGGGUGCGUAGGUGGGUUGGUAAGUCAGUGGUGAAAUCUCCGAGCUUAACUCCGAAACUGCAUUCGAUACUGCCGUGCUUGAGGACUGGAGAGGAGACUGGAAUUUACGGUGUAGCGGUGAAAUGCGUAGAUAUCGUAAGGAAGACCAGUGGCGAAGGCGGGUCUCUGGACAGUUCCUGACGCUGAGGCACGAAGGCCAGGGGAGCAAACGGG
rnacentral:rRNA from 1 species